rnacentral:lncRNA from 1 species
UGCACAGCUGUGUGUGUGCACCCACGCAGAGCUGAACAUAUCCCCGCAUACGCGACCCUCCGUGGAUGCAAGAGCAUGUGUCCUGCUGAAUUAUUAUAAAAUUACACUGACCCUAACAGAAAAUCCAUACCGGCCUCGGCCUUUCUCCCCCGACCUCUCGACCUCUGGGGUGCCUGAGGAAAGAGCUGACCGGGUCACCGCCUCCCCCUAGUCAAUGAGUCUCUCUCCAUUAGCAUAAAACAUGAAUCUGCUGGCAGCUUGACAAAUUAUAACUAGCAGCCAGAGUUUUGCCAACUGGCUGGCUUGGGCGCUGUCUAUUUAUCAUUGAAAAUGGUAAAUCAUAAGAAUCCAGAUGACUUAAUUAUUCAAAUCCACCCAGGACCCAGAGAAGCUGCAGUCGCGUCAAUCCCAGCCCUGGGCUCUGGGAGAAGGGCAGGGGGAAGAAAUCCUUCUAGCUGUGAGCUGGGAGAAGCAGGUCCAGCCCCCGCCCCUUCCCUGCCUGAACAAAUCCUAGAUCCGAAAGUCUGCGCGCUCAGCUUCAGGGGCACGUUUUAUCUCUGGGCCCUUUCUUCUUGGUAUGCCUCACAACCUAGGACAAAUACGUGUUGCUAUUUCUUCCAGUCCUGGACCCCAAGGGUAGUUUGUGUUCUGCCCGGCCCCCCAGUGGGGUGGGGAGGGGUCUGGCUGGGUCUACACAACCUCUGGCAUGAUCGCAUCCACGUUAAAGGAGACUGGAGCUGGGUGACCGGAGGCCCCCGCUUUGACUGGUGUCCUGGUUCAUUCGUAUGGAGGAUUGCGCUCCCUGCAAGGGCCCAGAGCUGUCCCCAAAGGCUCCUCGAGCCCACCUCUGUGUCUGCAGUCUGAGUGGCUCCGCAGCGUGUGUGUAGGGAGGUGCACACACCCCUGUGUGCGUGAGCUGAAGUUCGAGCUGACUGAGGGGUCAGCCUGCUGGUGUGCAUUCCUGCACACAUGUGGGCUGGGGCCCCCAGUUUAGGGGGGAGGGUGUGUGAGCACACUCUUCCAGGAGAAUCCCUUGUGCUGGAACAGCAAGUGACAAUGUCCCCACCAACAGGAGACCUGAGGAAACAGUCCUUUCCCAGCAGUUCCAUUUUAAGGGCUC